rnacentral:sRNA from 1 species
GAGAGAGAGAGAGAGAGAGAGAGAGAGAGAGAGAGAGAGAGGAGUGUGUGUAUGUAUACUUUAAAAUGUAAGAUCUGCAUAUGAGACAAUAUAUGACAUUUGUCUUUCUGAGUCUGAGUUAUUUUACUUAACAUAGGGAUUUUCCACUUCUAUCCGUUUUCCUUCAAAUGUCAUAAUUUCAGUUUCCCUUGGACCACAGUUUCUUUAUCUGUUCAUCAGUUGGGGGAAUAUCAAAGCUGGUUCCACUUCUCAUCUGUUGUAAACAGUGCAAUAACACACACGGAUGUGCCAGCAUCUUUGUGCUAGGACUUAGAGUCCUUUGGGCCUCUGCCCAGGAGUGGUAUCACCGGGUCGGAUGGUAGUCCUAUUUUUAGUCUUUUGAAAAACCUCUGCGCUGAUUUCCAUACUGGCUGCGUAAGUUUACCUUCACUACUACCUUCUCAUCUUCUAGAUGAGAGCUCACCUUUCUCCACAUCAGUGGCAGCAUUUGUUCUCACUCAUGUUCUGAAGUUAGUCCUUUUGACUGGGAUGAGAUGACAUUCCAACUUAGUUUCAAUUUGCAUUUCCCUGAUGGCUAAAGAUGUUAAACACUCUCAAAUAUUUAUUGGCCAUUUAUAUUUCUACUUUUGAGGACUAUCCUAUCCAUUAGUCCACUUAUUGAUUAACAGAUUUGAAGGUUUUGGCUUGGAGGGGGUUAAUUCUUUGUGUAUUGUAAAUAUUACCCUCCUCAUCUGAAGCAUAAUUUUAAAAGAAUUUUCCUCAUUAUGUGAGCCAUCUCUUUACUCUUGUGAUUGGUUUACUUCCUACUCAAAAGCCUUUUAAUUUCAGUUUUUGCCUGGAAUUAUGCAUGUACCCUGAAGUGCUUUCUCUGUGUCUUCCUCCUGUGGUUUUGGUGUUUCAAGGUUUUCUUAAGGUCUUUGAAGCAUUGUAAAUUGAUUUUUGUUCAGGGUGAGAGAUGUGGUUCUAAUUUCAUUCCCAUGUGUGUGAAUAGCUAGUUUCCCUGGUAACCAAUUUUGCUGUGUUGUUUUGUAUUCUGAUACUUUGCUGAAAGUAUUUAUCAGGUAUAAGAGUUUUCUUGUGGCGUUUUCGGCGUCUUUUAGGUACAGAAUCAUGUCAUUUGCAAAUAAGGGUACUCUGACCCCCUCCCUUCCUAAUUGGAUCUCCUUUAUUUCUUUCUCUUGUCUUAUUGCUCUAGCUAAGAUUGAAGCACUAUACUGAGUGGAGAGUGAGAGCCCUUAUCUCAGGUCUCGGAGGAGCACUCUUACCCUUAGUACCCUUAGUUGCUCUAAGUCUGUCAUACAUGUGUUCCUAGUUUCUUCUUUUUCAUUGUGAAAAGAUGUUUAACUAUCAAGUAACUUUUCCAUCUAUGGAAAUGAUCAUGCCAUUUCUAUCCUUAAAUCUGUCUGUUGUAUUACAGUUGUAUUAUAGGUGAUUUAUGUAUGUUGAGCCAACCUUGAGUUGUUUGAUGAGACUAUCUUGGUCAUCAGGUUUGACCUUCUAAAUGUAUAUUGCAAGUAUUUUGUUGAAUAUUUUUGUGUCUAUGCUCACAGGGGAAGUUGGUGUGUGGUUUCCUUUCUUGUUGUCACUUAUGUUUAAUCUGGUUUUUACCACAAUUACCCUUUAAAGUCGAUCUUUCCAAUGGCUCCCAACUUACAAUAGUUCAACCCUGGACCUUAUUUUUCUUAUUUUUCACUAGAAAUCAUACUUUGGUUUAUAAGUUCUUACUGCUUUUUCCAGAAUACUGGUAUGAAAUAGACUAGUAUCUCAAGCAGCUAGGUGGUGACAGCAAGACACAGGUCUCAGAGAGUUGUGUUCUCACAAGGAAAGAUGAGUGAUGCUUUACAGUGUACUGUACUCAACUCUAGUAUUCAGUAGGUGACGUGUAAACUCUAGUAUUCAGUAGGUGAUGUAUACUAUGCCCAUUUCACAAUCUGAACUUAGGAGUCCACUACAUUAUAAUGACAUCAUAAGUCUUACAUUUACAUUAUUACAGUCUUACAUUAUUUUGCUUUAUUUUGAACCCAGGAGGUUUUACAUCUAGACAAGUGCUCUGACUGGUCUCCAGACUCUCACUGGUUGUCUUCUUUGUUAUUGCUGUUUUUGGGGACAAGUGUUUACUGUCUAGGCUGUGUUCACACUCAUGACCCCAUGAUUCCAGGCAUACGUCACCACACCCUUGUUUAACCAUUUCCUUUCUGGCCAGCAACUGAACCAAUGCUUGGACAGUUGGUGUGCCUGACCCUUUUCUGAUGUUGGGGUCUAAUUCAAGAAUUCUAAAACUGGGGAAUCCCAUGAGGCGGUCUCUAUGAGAAUAUUCUUUGUCUACAAGCCAAAGAUGUACCUGAAGCUGUUUUAGUACUAACCAACUUACAACUUUGUGUAUUUGGAACUCCAAGAGACAGCAAUUCGACAUUUUCUCCAGUGGUGCCCCACACCACCAAGAACAGUGCGUCCCUGUGUCUAGCUCAGCAGCUCAGCAUCCUAUGUGUGCGGACAACAGCAUCCCUGACUCACGGGCUCCGGAGGCUGCAGCAGAAUUCAGGAGGCUGAGGCAAGAGGAUCAAAAAUUCAGAGCCAGUCUCAGCAACAGAGAAAGUUCAAGGCUGGUUUAGGUGAGUGGCACUAUUUGGAGGUGUGGCCUUUUGGAGUAGGCGUG